rnacentral:rRNA from 1 species
UGAGUUUGAUCCUGGCUCAGGAUGAACGCUGGCGGCGUGCUUAACACAUGCAAGUCGAACGGAGAUAUCAUUUUCGAAGCGAUUAGUUUACUAAGAGUGGAGAUGUUGGUAUCUUAGUGGCGGACGGGUGAGUAACGCGUGGGUAACCUGCCUUACACUGGGGGAUAACACUUAGAAAUAGGUGCUAAUACCGCAUAACAGGAGAAGAUGCAUGUCUUUUCCUUAAAAACUCCGGUGGUGUAAGAUGGACCCGCGUCUGAUUAGCUGGUUGGCGGGGUAACGGCCCACCAAGGCGACGAUCAGUAGCCGGCCUGAGAGGGUGAACGGCCACAUUGGGACUGAGACACGGCCCAAACUCCUACGGGAGGCAGCAGUGGGGAAUAUUGGACGAUGGGGGGAACCCUGAUCCAGCGACGCCGCGUGAGUGAAGAAGUAUUUCGGUAUGUAAAGCUCUAUCAGCAGGGAAGAAAGAAAUGACGGUACCUGACUAAGAAGCCCCGGCUAACUACGUGCCAGCAGCCGCGGUAAUACGUAGGGGGCAAGCGUUAUCCGGAUUUACUGGGUGUAAAGGGAGCGUAGACGGCGAUGCAAGUCUGAAGUGAAAGGCGGGGGCCCAACCCCCGGACUGCUUUGGAAACUGUAUAGCUGGAGUGCAGGAGAGGUAAGUGGAAUUCCUAGUGUAGCG